ACUUCAGCGGCGCCGGCCCCUCGGUGGUUUCCGCCUCGGUACCGCUUCCUCGGGGGAGCAGCUACCUGGGCGGCAGCUGUGCGGUCUCUGAGUAGCCCGCUGCGGGGGCUGGGCGGUUUCCGGCCAAUCCACGCCUCUCCCCCGCGCAAGGGGGCCACCCCAGCCUCACCGGGACCAUCGAGCCCAGAUCUACGGGGAGUCACACUCAAAGUCUUCCCCCGUCUUUCAACCCCACCCGACUUCUCUUCCUUGUUCCAGUCCUCCACUCUUCCCUGCCGGAAACGGCGCCCCUUUCUCCUACAGUUCCGCCCGCCAGUCUGGACUCUGGUCUCCCCUCGUGCCCUAAAGUGACACGAAGGACCCCUUCUUGUUUUCCGCGGCCCCUCCUCCCCGCACGCAGGGAGACUGUUGGAGGGGGUGGGGUGGAGCCCAGGGAAGAAGAGAAAGGAAGGCAACUGGAUUGGAUCAGCAGCUGCCAUGGAAACUGGAGCUGUAGUAUUGUCAUGAACCGAGGAGGUUGUGCCCCCCACGGAGGCCCCGCUGGGUUAUCCGAAGGAGACCGAGUCGCUCCCUUCUUGGAGAACUCCAUUCUCGGAUGAGUCUGCCGCGCUUGGGAACUCGCCACUCUGUCUCUCGGGUCGGGGAGGAAAGGGUUGGGGGAAAUAGGAUUAAAAACAAAACCAUCCCUAGAUCCUGGCGCGAAGUUCCGAUGGAAGGCGUCUGGGGGGCGGGGGGGGUGGGGGUGAUUGUCAUUAGGACACAUCUUUUUGAAUGUCUGUGUAUUUUGUGUAAAACAGAAAUAAGGAAUGGGGCCAGGCGUGAUGAGUGUGUGAGAAGCCGCUGGGGAAGUCAUCCUACUGGUUUUGAAGGCACUUGACAUAAAUUCUAUUUUCACCGCGCACCGCGGAGCGGUGUAAGCAGCUCUCCAAAGCCCUUUGGGAUGUGUGCCACCCUCCAGACGCGUCCUCCUCGCUGGGUGGUUCACACGAGGGGUUGGAUGGGCUCAUGCUGCGUGAGCCCCUGCUUCCCGCUGCCUCCCAGGCGGGCUGGACGGGCAAGACCCUCCCCUGACGUUGCAUCUGCUAAGAGGCUGGACCAACCCAUGUCUCCUAUUGGGACCAUCAGGUGUACGUUGGGAGGAAAUGAGAGCACGGGCUGCUUGGAAAUCGGUCCCAAAGGCAGAUGAUGGUGAACGAGACGCAAGCUGAGCCCUGCCCGCUCCGGCCGCCCGCGCCCGGGCCGUGGUGCGUGACGCGGCGCGAGGGUGGCCGCCGCUGCACAAUGGCCCCGGCACCCGCCCCGCGCCGCCGCCCGCCCGCCCGCGGGGAAGGGAGCCACCUAGUGAGCGGUUGCUCUCCUCUCCGGUUCUUCCAUCCGGAGAGCCCAGAGAUGGAGAUUUCCUAGGACUACCUAUUACCCCAAACACCCUGCGCUUCUCUCCUGAAAUGUAUUGGCUAGAAUUUAAAAUGAUUUUAGCCAGAAUAAAACUUUUGUGAUGUAAAAUAAUCACCCCUUUGGUAAUCAUCAUCAUGAUACCUUCUUUGUGGCCAGUAUCUCCAGGGAACGGCACAUGAGCAUGUAUUGUGACACUCCUGAUAAGCAACCUAGGAAAAUAUUACUCUCUCCUGAUUUUGGAAAUAAGGAGACUAGGAUAAAAAAAAAAAAAAGAAAAAAAAAAAAAAAAAA